ensembl:ncRNA lncRNA:CR44489 long non-coding RNA:CR44489
UUAACCAAAAACCAGCAAACGGUCAAACUUUAAAAGCAGAAAGACAUGCACUGCGGGCCAGAAAGAGACGGGUGGACAGCUGAAACCAAAUUGUGACUUGGUCUUUUAUUUAUUCACUGUUUGCCAGCAAGAUUACUCUCCUUUUCAGCAACUACGUGCAACGUUGUCGAGCUUUGUCUCUCUUUUCUGGUCGCCACGCUAGAUUAGAUACAGAUGCAUAUACAAAGAUACGGAUACAAAGAUACAGAUUCCAUGAGCUGCUAUUUAGAGGAAGAGAGGCUGAGGGAUGGAGACUGCUUAUUUAUUUGCUCGCUCAAAAAAAAAAAGGUCAAACCCUUCGGCUACUACGCGCUCAAGCAUCCAGCACUAAAAUGCAAUCUAAUAAUUAUACAUAAAACAUAAAAGCAACAGCCAGGUCUUGAGCUAACUUCUGGCUAUGUUCAAGGCUAAGCAGAAAUACACUAAAAGCUUAAUAGUAUUCAGAAGUAAUCAAAAUAAUAUUAAUCUAAGUAUUAUAUAAAAUAUGUAGUU